CUUCUCUGUACUCUGUUCCAUUCUCUUUCUAAAAAGUUAACAAUGGAGGAAGAAGAAGGACUUGAUUCCUGCAUCCAUACUGCUAUGCAUUCCUUCCUUCAUUUUGCAUAUCUUCAACUUCUCUCUCUUCCACAAAGCUGCUGAUCUUCUUCUUCUUCUGCAGUCACUCUCGGUCCAGAAGUUUGCAUGAUUUUGGCUAUUAACACAUAGCAUUUGGGAGUAUAUGCUGGAUCCAAUCCUUCUUCCUGAUUGUUGAUAGCAAGAUGGAGCAGUACGAAGUAUUAGAGCAAAUUGGAAAAGGGGCAUUUGGUUCUGCCCAUCUUGUGAGGCACAAACAUGAAAAAAAGAAGUAUGUGCUGAAAAAAAUUCGCCUGGCUCGUCAAACUGAUAGAAGCCGUAGAUCUGCACAUCAAGAGAUGGAACUUAUAUCCAAGAUGCGGAAUCCAUUCAUCGUGGAAUAUAAAGAUUCUUGGGUAGAAAAGGUGAAAUGUUACCUGAAACAGCUGUUGUCUGUCUGGACUUGAGCAUUGUCACAGCCGUCGCGUGCUUCAUCCAGACAUUAAAUGAUCAAAUUUACUUAUUAUUAUUGAUGAUGAUGGUAUUCUCAGAAUACCCGAUUUUGGGUUGGCAACUAUUGUAGACCCCAACCACAACCCCAUGACAAGUCGGCUGGUUAACUAUUGUAGACCCCAACCACAACAACCCCAUGACAAGUCGGCUGGUUACAUUGUGGUAUCGAGCUCCAGAGUUGCUAACUUCUUUGAGCCACUGAUUAUGGAUGGUGUAGGCAUAGACAGACUUGUGGAGUGCUGAUGGUUGUAUUUUAGUUGGGAAACCUAUUUAUUAUGCCUGGACAUACAUACAGAGAUAGAACAAUUACAUGGGACAUACAAACUAUGUGGUUCUCCUUCUGAUGAUUACUGGAAAAAAGUUUAGGUCUCCCAAUGCAACUGUGUUUAAGCAACGUCAGCCUUACAAGCGUUGUGUGUUUCUGAGACAUUCAAUCAUUUUCCACAAUCAUCUCUUUCGCUGUAUAAUGAAUCAACAUUAUUGUGUUUAUAUAAUUGAAACAAAUAAAUGGUAAUGUCUAAAGUU